rnacentral:rRNA from 1 species
UACGAAGGGGGCUAGCGUUGUUCGGAAUUACUGGGCGUAAAGCGCACGUAGGCGGACUACUAAGUCAGGGGUGAAAUCCCGGGGCUCAACCCCGGAACUGCCUUUGAUACUGAUAGUCUCGAGUCCGGAAGAGGUGAGUGGAAUUCCGAGUGUAGAGGUGAAAUUCGUAGAUAUUCGGAGGAACACCAGUGGCGAAGGCGGCUCACUGGCCCGGUACUGACGCUCAUGUGCGAAAGCGUGGGGAGCAAACAGG